UACGAAGGGGGCUAGCGUUGCUCGGAAUCACUGGGCGUAAAGCGCACGUAGGCGGCUUUCUAAGUCAGGGGUGAAAUCCUGGAGCUCAACUCCAGAACUGCCUUUGAUACUGGAGAGCUAGAGUCCGGAAGAGGUGAGUGGAACUGCGAGUGUAGAGGUGAAAUUCGUAGAUAUUCGCAAGAACACCAGUGGCGAAGGCGGCUCACUGGUCCGGCACUGACGCUGAGGUGCGAAAGCGUGGGGAGCAAACAGG
rnacentral:rRNA from 1 species